AGUGAACGCUGGCGGUAGGCCUAACACAUGCAAGUCGAACGGCAGCACAGUAAGAGCUUGCUCUCACGGGUGUCGAGUGGCGGACGGGUGAGGAAUACAUCGGAAUCUACUUUUUCGUGGGGGAUAACGUAGGGAAACUUACGCUAAUACCGCAUACGUCCUACGGGUGAAAGCAGGGGAUCUUCGGACCUUGCGCGAUUGAAUGAGCCGAUGUCGGAUUAGCUAGUUGGCGGGGUAAAGGCCCACCAAGGCGACGAUCCGUAGCUGGUCUGAGAGGAUGAUCAGCCACACUGGAAGUGAGACACGGUCCAGACACCUGCGGGAGGCAGCAGUGGGGAAUAUUGGGCAAUGGGCGCAUGCCUGAUACAGCCAUACCGCGUGAGUGAAGAAGGACUUAGGGUUGUAAAGCCCUUCUGUUGGGAAAGAAAAGCAGCAGGUUAAUACCCCGCUGUUCUGACGGUACCCAAAGAAUAAGCACCGGCUAACUUCGUG
rnacentral:rRNA from 1 species